rnacentral:rRNA from 1 species
AUGCACGCUGGCGGCGUGCCUCAUACCUGCCAGUCGAGCGAACGGACGAGAAGCUUGCUUCUCUGAUGUUAGCGGCGGACGGGUGAGUAACACGUGGAUAACCUACCUAUAAGACUGGGAUAACUUCGGGAAACCGGAGCUAAUACCGGAUAAUAUUUUGAACCGCAUGGUUCAAAAGUGAAAGACGGUCUUGCUGUCACUUAUAGAUGGAUCCGCGCUGCAUUAGCUAGUUGGUAAGGUAACGGCUUACCAAGGCAACGAUGCAUAGCCGACCUGAGAGAGUGAUCGGCCACACUGGAACUGAGACACGGUCCAGACUCCUACGGGAGGCAGCAGUAGGGAAUCUUCCGCAAUGGGCGAAAGCCUGACGGAGCAACGCCGCGUGAGUGAUGAAGGUCUUCGGAUCGUAAAACUCUGUUAUUAGGGAAGAACAUAUGUGUAAGUAACUGUGCACAUCUUGACGGUACCUAAUCAGAAAGCCACGGCUAACUACGUG